rnacentral:rRNA from 1 species
GCGGUAUGCUUUACACAUGCAAGUCGAACGGAUUAAAGAGCUUGCUCUUUAGUUAGUGGCGAACGGGUGAGUAAUAUAUCGGAACAUAUCCGGAAGUGGGGGAUAACGUAGCGAAAGUUACGCUAAUACCGCAUAUGCCCUGAGGGGGAAAGGGGGGGAUCGCAAGACCUCUCGCUUUCGGAGUGGCCGAUAUCGGAUUAGCUAGAUGGUGAGGUAAAGGCUCACCAUGGCGACGAUCCGUAGCUGGUCUGAGAGGACGACCAGCCACACUGGAACUGAGACACGGUCCAGACUCCUACGGGAGGCAGCAGUGGGGAAUUUUGGACAAUGGGCGAAAGCCUGAUCCAGCCAUACCGCGUGAGUGAAGAAGGCCUUCGGGUUGUAAAGCUCUUUCAGCCGGAAAGAAAUAGCUUCCAUUAAUACUGGAAGUUGAUGACGGUACCGGAAGAAGAAGCACCGGCUAACUACGUGCCAGCAGCCGCGGUAAUACGUAGGGUGCGAGCGUUAAUCGGAAUUACUGGGCGUAAAGCGUGCGCAGGCGGUUUUUUAAGUCAGAUGUGAAAUCCCCGGGCUCAACCUGGGAACUGCAUUUGAAACUGGAAGACUAGAGUAUAGCAGAGGGGGGUAGAAUUCCACGUGUAGCAGUGAAAUGCGUAGAUAUGUGGAGGAAUACCAAUGGCGAAGGCAGCCCCCUGGGUUAAUACUGACGCUCAUGCACGAAAGCGUGGGGAGCAAACAGGAUUAGAUACCCUGGUAGUCCACGCCCUAAACGAUGUCAACUAGGUGUUGGGGGAGGAGACUUCCUUAGUACCGUAGCU